CAGAGUCCAAACCGAACUAAUGGGGUUCCAUUUGGAAUUUGUGGGAGAUUCAAGACCUUUACCAGAUGUCGCCCUGACUGGGAAGUGUACUCGGGAAUGUGAUGAGUAUGGCCAUUCAGAUUCUUGCUGGAUGCCUGUCCGCACCUCACCUGAACGAAAGCCGAAAAGCCAGCCAAAACUCUCCACAUUCAUGCCUGUUGAUGAACGGGGCAGUCAAGAGAAGCUGGCCAAUGGAGAAGCCUCCCUGAUGGGUGACCGCAACAGAAACCUCCUUAACAAAAAGUUGACCUCAUCCUAUGAGACCUUCAGUCCAGCCAGUUUCAGCAAAAGUGAGGAAGCCAAUCCUGAGGAUAUUCCCCUCACACAGACAGGGGAAUACAAGCCAUCUCCCGUCAAUACUUUAACUAGAAGAGAAGUUUACCUUUAGGCUAUGAAGAAAUAACAACAGUGCUCUCUCGCAUAUUAAAGGGGGACAAAAGGCAAAAACCUAUAAAUCAAAACAAUUUAAACUCAAAAACAAAAAAAUAGAAUAAAGGGAAGUCUAUCGGAAAGGGGGCUACCAAAGAGACAAAAGCUUGGCCUGCCACUUCUGCCUCCGUGCCAGGCAUUUACGUAUCCUGUCUGCCUGACUCUACUGUACAAUGUAGAAACCAUUGUUGUUCCUGCAUGCCUAAUUCCCUGCUCACCAAUCUUUAAUUUUCCUAAAUUUCUGGUUGUAAAUUCCUUUCAAGGUAACACAUCUGAUAUGGAAAAACAAAACAAAACAAAAGAACCUCAGAAACUGUUGUUACCCCCCUCCCCACUGCUAAAGCAUUGUUUAAGCCACUUCAGUUCUCAUUUGGUGGUCAUCUGGCUUGUUGGGAAUAGCAGGUCAGAGGGAAAAAUAAAAUUCUCAAAUAUGUAUGUGAACAUAUAUAGUCAACUCUCCAGGAAAUCAUCUGAAUAUUGCUGGUUCCCAUCAGAGAUAAGCCUUCAGAAACCACACAAACAUAAAUAACUAGAGGGAUUUUUUUUUAAAAAAGAGCACUUUUUUUGGAAGAUCACAACUUUAAUAUUGUCCUGUGGCUGGAAGCAACAGAAAACAUAUUCAGCCUGGAAUUAUAUUCCAAAUUAGGACAUAUUCUCUAUAAUCCUGAACUGUGAGUUAACUUUUUAUCCAUAGAACAACUACUAUCUUCCUUGUCCUCUUUCUAUCAUUCUUUUCCUUCUCCUCUUCCUCUAUCCCUUCCUUCACCCCCACCACCAUAACAAAUAGUAUGAUGGUAUAUAUCAUCACAUACUAAGGAUCAAUUGCUAAACUGGUGUCAUUUUUUACCAGACCAACUCUUAGCUUGGAUGACCAUAGUGAUUAAAAGGCCAAAGAACAUACUGCUAUGGAUCAGGAGAAUUACCUGUUGGUCUUGUCUUAUAAAAAUUGACACAGACACGCACAAACACAUAAGCAUAUUUUCCACAUGCAUUUGCACAGCAGUCUAUGCGGCAAACCCAGACAAUGUAGUUGUUUUCCUAAUGGAUUUUAGUUCAGUGCCCAGUGGAACUGAUAAAAGGAGCUUGCUGGUAACAGCAUGAUAACAUCAUAAGCUAUAUGACCGUGGUCCUCCAGUUCUAGGUUAUAUUUUUCUUAGAAGGUUUCAAAUCCAUCCCGGAAGCUGUGUCGAUGAGCUCCAAGACAUGUCGAGAGGGGAAUCUGAAAGAACAGUGCAAUGAAGGCAGUGGGAAGAACAUGCUUCAAGUCAAGUAUGACGCCAUCUUUGCUGAAAGUGGAUACCAACCCUUGGGUUACCAGCGUUCCAGGUUAAUCAUUUGCUCUUGGCAAAGGUAUUAUGCAGGUUUUCUUAAAACACAAGUGCAUUUAAGCUGACUCCUGUGCAAUACAAAACCAAUGUUGAGACUCAAGGUGGCCAGUAGUCUUCACUGUUGUCACCGCCAACAUGCUCUGUGCAAAAUAGUUUUGUUUGUGACAAGUUACAAAGAAUCCAGACCUGAUCAUGAUGGUGCAGAGUCCUGAGCUUGUGACAGUUCUCAUAGUUUGCACUAUAUGAUGUGGAUGAGAAAAUGGACCAGAUAUAUUUUGUGCAAUAAAAAGUAACGGAGUGUGUAGAAUCUGGGAUAGUUCUGUAUUGAUAAUGAAAUAGUAAUAAAGAAUGGCUGAGCAUGGACAUUCAAAUGAAACUGACAAUCGUUCAAUGCAGUGGGGACAGCUUGAGAAAGGGUGCAAAGAGAAGCCAGCCCCUCUGGUUGUUUAACUUGGCAUUAAAGCAUGACUAGGUGGUUCUAGUAAAAAUGUAGUGACAAGAUAGCUUGGGUAGUUUCUUGCUUUAAAAUUUACGUAGAAUAUAUUGUUAAACAGUCUGAAAAAUAUGGGCUGAUUGACUGGUACAAACUCACCACAGCUUUUGACUUUUGAAUUCUUAAUAGCAAAGUGCCCUUUUUCAUUGUGCAUCUUCCUCCAAUUUCUGUUUCAUUUGGCUUUUCAUUUGUGUGUAGCAGUAAAAAUGGAAAUAUAUUUGAAGGGGGAAACAGUUACAAAGAGGAAUGAUUUAUCAUUCUGAUGCAUCUUUUUUAAAAAUUUCAGAGAUGCAAAUUCUGAUUUUAUAAGAUGACUGACCUAAUGAGUUACUGUAUUUAUAUAACAUUAAGGUAUCUGUUUGGCGUAAAACACUUCUCAAGAUAUUUACAUAAAAGCUUAUACAUUUCUUGCAGGUUUCAAUGGAGAACACAUUGUAUAACUCCAGUGGUCAGCAGAGCUUUAUUUAUUUUUAAAUCCUAAUACACUGAAUAUACAGUUGAGAGCCACUAAAGAGAGGAAUCUAAAAGAAUUAUUUCUCUUUUAAAACCUCCUUUUCUAGAAAGCCAAUACAGGUCAAAGAAGGCCUUCAGGAUUAACUGGAUCAGCCACUACUCCCAAUUUUGUGUACUCUAUAAAGAGAAAUCAUAUACUUGAGUGAUUUAUUUAAUUUACUCAUUGAACUAAGAUGGGCACAAAAGAAUAACAGAAAAUACAGUGUACUUGUAUGUAUUUGAGGUAAUUCUAGUAAAAUCUAGCCAUCAAAACAUAGUCAAUUGCUUCUUAUGACCCAGCAUGAGACACAAAUAUAUUUUUGUGUGUUUUUUGUUUGUUUGUUUGUUUUAAAAUUAGUUCAAUCUGGUGACACUCCUUAUAUAGAGUGCUUUUAUAAAAAACAAUAAAAUGAAAUGAAAAAUUUUAGCGUGAAUGCAAAAUAUGCAACUGUGCCUUUUAUACCUGUUGUUAUGGUAAAAAUGGUGGUUGGGGUUGGACACUGAAAAUUAAUGGGCUAUUCCCACCUUUUUGAACCUGUAUAUUUAACCAUGUUUAUUUUCUGAGAAAUGAAAAAUGAUAUAUUUAAAAAUGCCUUCUACCAAACUCAGAUAAUGGACCAGUCUUAAAUAUGAAUCAUAAUUUUUUAAAAAGGAGGGGAGGGAGGAAAAAAGACAUGGUUUUGGGCUGGGCAUUUGCUAACUGAAAAAGUGUGAUCAUAUACUUCUCUGUGGCAAGAUGUUAUAAGUCUGUUUAGCAGAGAAAUUGAUGAUUUAUUGGAUUUUUUAAAAAUGCUAUUAGCAACCAUUUUGUUUUAAUUUCAUACACCAGAGUCCAAUAUUGUUUGUUCGCUUUUUUUAAUUUCAGAAGGAACUCUAAGGAGCUCUGCAUGCAUUUUACAUUGGACACAUUUAUAGAUUGCCGCAUUACUUAUGUAACUUUAUAUGAAUUAGAAAAUGUCCGUAUUAACUACUGUCUAAACUCUAAUGCUCAUUCCAACCUCCAGAUAUGCUAAUAUUUAGUCAAUAUAAUUUCUGACUGGCCUGCUGCCUGAGUUUUAGAAAACAAGGUAGAUGUUAUUUUUCUGUGGGGAGAAAACUCAAAUGAGAGAUUGAAGGUGCUUGGCUGAAAGACUACCCUGGGAAGUUGUCCUAUAGGAAAGCAGAAAUGUAGGAAAAUGGAGAGAGCGGGGCAAAAUGAAACUACCAUAAAUACAGCCAUCACUAAAAGACUUUUUUGGCAUUGGAACAUUGAAGAAGGGGACAGUUUUGCUUAUGUUCCAUCAGUGAUAAAGAUCCAUUGUUUCCUUAAAUGCUGAAUGAGAGGAGAUGGACCAUGGUAGAGAUGAACCUAAUCCCAACAUUUAAGUUGGGGCAGUUGCUUGAAGAGCAUUAUACUUGGAAGAAGGCAUCAUUUUCCAGCUACCUGGGGUACACUUUCAGACAUUUCUUUUCCUGAAUUUUGAAGCACUUACAUUCAGUGUGGUUACGAUCUGUUUGUAAUAUUAAUCAUUGACUAUUGUUCUGCAACUUGGAUGUUGAUAGUGAAGCAGAGAACAACUUAUCAUUGUUUAUUAUGAGUCACUAUGCACGCAACUAUGCUAAAAAAAAGAAACAUGGCAAAAAUGUAUUCAACGCUAGUCCACCUCUAUUUAUGAAAGAUUUUGCAUAAUUUAAUUUGCUUUUGUACAGUUUUAUGUAAAUAAAUUGCUUGUCAUUUUUGUCUCUGCAAAUUAAAAUAUAACAUGUUCAAAUG
rnacentral:lncRNA from 11 species